rnacentral:rRNA from 1 species
GACGUAGGGCGCGAGCGUUGUCCGGAUUUAUUGGGCGUAAAGAGCUCGUAGGCGGUUUGUCGCGUCUGCCGUGAAAGUCCGGGGCUCAACUCCGGAUCUGCGGUGGGUACGGGCAGACUAGAGUGAUGUAGGGGGAGACUGGAAUUCCUGGUGUAGCGGUGAAAUGCGCAGAUAUCAGGAGGAACACCGAUGGCGAAGGCAGGUCUCUGGGCAUUAACUGACGCUGAGGAGCGAAAAGCAUGGGGAGCGAACAGG